GGGACACGUGACCCGGGUAGUGUUUUGACAGGGCAAACAGUGGGAGAAAGAGUAGAGAGCGAGCGAGCCAGGCGAGCAGGCAGCCGGGCUGGUGGAUGCGCGGGGCGCGGCGUCUCGGCGUCUAGGCGGCCGCGGGGUCGUUGCUCACUGCGCUCGGGGAGGCGUGGCCCGGAGCACGGAGUGUGAUGUGAGCGGCCGGGCGGCCGCAGAGAGCAGUGCCGGGAGGAGGAGCGAGGGGUCCCGGAGGGCGGCGAGCGGGCGGGCCAUGGGAGCCGUUCCCGGGUGGGCAGAGCCUCGCGUGGGUCGGCGCGGCUGAGGACAUGCCCAGACUCUGCUGCUGACCGGCUCCGGCUGGAACCCGGCUACUGAAGUCUCGGCGAGGCUAGCCAGAGGGGAUCCCCGCAGCGUUUGGAAAACGAAGCAGAAGCUGUGUUGAGUCAGCUGUGUGCCGGUUGGAAGAACCCACACCUAUGUUUUACAGCACUUUGGGUGGAAAUUGGAUGCCAAAAUGAAGCCAGACCGAGAUGCCUUGGAUGAGUAUUUUGAAUAUGACGCAGAGGAGUUCUUGGUCUCUUUGGCCUUGCUGAUAACUGAAGGACGAACCCCUGAAUGCUCUGUGAAAGGCCGUGCAGAGAGUUUCCACUGCCCUCCAGCGCAGUCCCGUUUCCCAGCAACGGCCAGACAUGAAUGCAGUGACAAGCUGGCCCAGUGUCGCCAAGCCAGGCGAACCAGAUCUGAAGUGACACUGUUGUGGAAAAAUAAUCUUCCAAUCAUGGUGGAAGUGAUGCUUCUGCCGGAUUGCUGCUACAGUGACGAGGGGCCUAGCACAGAGGGGACAGAUCUGAAUGACCCUGCCAUUAAGCAAGAUGCACUGUUACUGGAGAGGUGGAUCUUGGAGCCAGUUCCCCGACAGAAUGGCGAUCGCUUCAUCGAAGAGAAGGCACUUCUGCUGGCUGUCAGAUCGUUUGUGUUUUUUUCUCAGUUAAGUGCGUGGCUAAGUGUUUCUCAUGGUGCUAUUCCACGAAACAUUCUUUAUAGAAUCAGUGCUGCUGAUGUCGACCUGCAGUGGAAUUUUUCACAGACUCCAACUGAGCAUGUGUUUCCUGUUCCCAAUGUCUCUCACAAUGUGGCCUUGAAAGUCAGUGUUCAGUCCUUACCUAGACAAGCUCACUAUCCGGUUUUGACCUGUAGUAUUCAUACUAACAUUGGUCUGUAUGAGAAGAGAAUUCACGAACAGGAGCUUAGAGCCUGUCAGCACCGUGACCCUGGUGAAGUAGAGUACCGUUGUCCUAGCAGCUCACAGAAUCUAUGCAGCAAGCACACAUUGACCAUGGCACCUGUGAGUGCCCUGCAUGUCAGAAGUGGCAUGCCUCCCGAGUACACUGCAGCCAUUAGAAAUGUCAGGCUCUGCCCAGGCACGGGUAGCAAGUCUGACCACGGGGCACCUCAAGCCAGUGUCCUGGCCUUCAGUGGCACCGGAGAAGUGAAGUCACAGGAGGCAUCAGUGAGAACUUUCAAAUCACUCUCUGUGAUCGAUUCCAGUGUCUCCAGCUGUCAGAGCUCCCGGCAGCCAGUAGGGGAGCCUAACCCUUUAAUCGACUCCCUGAUUCAGGACCGACAAGAAGUCAUUGCCAGGAUUGCUCAGCACUUGAUUCACUGUGACCCCAGCUCCGCUCGCAUGUCUGAACUCCCCUUUAACACCCAGGAGUCCACUUCACUUAGCCCAAAGCUUCACCCGGUUUCACAGGAAAGUGGUUGUGUGAGAAGAUGCAAAGAAGCAUUCUCUGUCUCUCUUGGGAGUCCAGAGUUUGGCUCCCCAGGAGACAGCAGGGAGGGGAAAGUGAGAGAGAAGUCAGAAACCAAGCCAGGAGAAACCUGUGCCUCUCACAGUCGGUACCCUCACCAGCCUGCUGGGGAGGUGAACCCUCUGAUCGGCUCUUUGCUCCAGGAGCGGCAGGACGUCAUAGCCAGGAUCGCACAGCACUUGGAGCACAUCCACCCCACAGCUCACAUUCCCCGGCCUGCAUUCAGCAAGCACGACUCCAAUUCCAUUCCUUCUAAAGUGUUCAGGAGUUCAUUUGAUGACAAAACCUUGUUGAAGAAGGACAGAGAGAAUGUCUCUGUUUCUGCUUCUCAUACAGAAGUGUCCUUAUUGAGAGACAGAGGUGAUGGGAAAAGCCUCAAACCUAGUAAAUGCUUCCGAUCUUCCAAAUACAGUCCUCAAGGAAAGCCUCUGAGACCUGAAGAAAGACCUCAGCAUCAGAACCAACCUGAUGACAUCACCCACACCGCCAGGCAGGAGUUGCUGAACAAGGAUACUGGCUUACUAACUUCCUCUAACACGUAUCUCUGCAGUGAAAGCGACUUGGGUUUGAUUAGCAGAUUGCAAAGUGCAUCUUGCAAAUUACAACAUAAGGAGCAAGAAAUGAGCCAUGAAACUGAGAAACAGUGUUUGCAUUGCAACAGUAUUGACAAACAGAUUGGCACAAAUAAAUGUACAGAGAAAAUAAAAGACGAGAAUAUCCCAGGAUCUCUCGGUCAUCUCCAGUGUGAUGAUUCAGAAGGUAUUGACUCAAAAAUAAAAAUGACUAUGUUGGAAAUGGCUGACUGUUUGAACAAGUAUAAAACUAAUUGUUCAAAUAAAGACUCCAAAAGAUCAGAGACCUGUGGGCAAAGCAUUCAGCUUGGCACAGAAGAUGAUCUCAGUGAAGAUGUUGAAGGUUCCAAAAGCACAAUAUCAGACCAGCUAAAAACUGAGCAGGAGGGAAAAACAGAUUCAGUUGCUGGAAAACCUCAAAGUGUAAAGCACUGUUUGUCUACAAGUGAAAGACUGAAAAAUGCAGACGUGUUGAGGACUACACUGAAACAUUCAAGUGUCUGGAGGAAGCAUAAUUUUCAUUCCUUGGAUGGGACAUCAACCAGAGCCUUCCAUCCUCAGACGGGGCUGCCUCUCCUCUCAAGUCCGGUUCCUCAAAGAAAAACACAGUCAGGUUGCUUUGAUCUAGACACUUCGCUGCUGCAUCUGAGAAGCCUAUCCUCCAAAAGCUCUCGACCAUGUCUGAACAUUGAAGAGAACCCAGAUGUUCAUGAAAAACCUUUUCUGAGUUCAAGUGCUCCACCAAUUACAAGUCUUAGUCUCCUAGGAAAUUUUGAGGAAUCGGUUCUGAAUUACCGUUUAGACCCCCUUGGCAUAGUUGAUGGCUUUACUGCCGAGGUGGGAGCCAGUGGGACUUUCUGCCCAACGCACUUGACUCUGCCGGUGGAAGUGUCGUUCUACAGUGUUUCCGAUGACAAUGCUCCCUCGCCUUAUAUGGGUGUGAUUACUUUAGAGUCCCUUGGUAAAAGGGGUUAUCGAGUACCUCCUUCAGGAACGAUACAAGUGGUAUGUGUUUUAUAGCCUACAAUUGCAAUAAUCAUUCUCUCACACAUAUAGAACUUAGCCCUUUCUCCUGCUACUGCUGCUGCAACAACCUUGACCUUAUUCAAUCCCAAUAAGACUGUGGUGAAGAUGUUUGUUGUCGUGUAUGACCUACGAGGUAUGCCAGCCAAUCACCAGACAUUCCUGAGACAGAGGACGUUUUCUGUUCCAGUUAAACAAGAAAUGAAGAGAAGUAUUAACAAAGAGAACGUCCAGCACACCGCACAGUUACUACGCUACCUCAUACACCUGAGGUUCCAGAGUUCUAAAUCUGGAAAGAUCUACCUCCAUAGAGAUGUCCGGCUCCUGUUCUCUAGAAAGUCCAUGGAGGUUGACAGUGGCGCUGCAUACGAGCUCAAAUCUUACACGGAAUCGCCGACAAACCCUCAGUUUUCACCAAGACGUUGAUGAGGGGGACAACUGAAAAGGAUUUGCUCAGUACCCAAGCUUGAAUGUGAGCAUUCACAGAAUGGAAUACAUCAAAUGAGAGCCAGCGGAGCGGAGUGGCCCUCCUCUGUUGUCCUGGACCAGAUUUUAUUAAAGGACCCCUGAAGUGAGACCUGUGACUCCCAAGUGGACUGGAAGCACCCGUGUCUUCACUCUUUUCGUACUGUUGAAACCACUUCAUUGGACAGUUGCAAUAGCAAAACCUUCAGUUAGAUUAGUGUUUACACAUUUUAUUUCUGUUAUUUAAUAUUUAAUGUUUUCCUUAACAGUCAAGUGACAUUUGUCUCUAGUGUUCUAAUGUAGCACAAUCCUAUGUAAAAUCAUACUAUGUAUUUUUGACAUUAAUGUUGAAAUUGAAAUAUAUGCAUAAGUCUUUAAUUUUGUGUGGUGUGUUUUAAGUGCUAUUCAUUUAAGCUACUGAAAAUGAGAAUGAAAUGUUGGGCUUCUUUAAGAUUAAUGCACUAUGCAAGCAUGUAUGCUUUUUAUAUCUCUCCAGGUUAGGUUUUAUAGCACUUACCCAGGGGCGUUCCCCGGGGGCCCAACAAAGCUGCUCCCAUCCUCCGGCAAGCUCUCAGCUCCUGCCCAUUCUCAUUUCUUCUAAGGUCUCCCCACCCCAAAAAACAUUCUAUUUUCCCUGAAUCGCUACUGUAGAGGUUUUACUUUAAAUUGCUGUCCCAUGCUAGAUAAUUUUCUCACACUGUUAAAAAGAAUAUGUACUUUGAAAAGAAAUAUUUAUAUUGUAAAUAUAUGCAAAAAACUAAAA